UGCCUGAGACAUGUGCUGAUCAGGGUUUAUGAUAAAGGACUUUGAAAUGUAGAGUGCUGAGACUUUAGAGGGCAAGUUUAUGGUGCAAUUGAUGGAUCCUUUUAUUUCCUGCUCUUUGAACAUACAUACUUGUGGGAAAUUACAGGGAGGGGUUCAGCGUGGCCCAAAGCAAUAGACUUCAGCAUCUGGCGAAGCCAGAGUGUUUUCCCUCCUCAGGGAGGCCCCCAAUCUCUGCCCCCCACUGCAUCCGUGCAGGUUGGCACAUGUGACAACAAAACUGGAUGCAGUUUAUUCCUGGGCAGAGCUCUUCAUUCAGCCUGUUCUGGAUGUGAGCCAGGUGUAAAAUGAAAAGCAGACCGUGUGCCCUUUGCUCCCCCCACUCCCUCCCCCAUUUCCUAUAAAUGAGCAAGCAGUUCGUUUGUUUGUUGCAAGUGUUUUAAUAAAAGUGUGGCCUUCCCACUUCAUUUUAGGACCAGAGCUGUGAAGCCGUGCUAAGCGGUGUCUAGAUAUUCUUGUAGGAACAUUCUGAUAGAUUGCAGUGUGAGUUCAGGAGAAACUUGAAAGUAAACAAGAGAUCUGGAGAACGGUCUCCCGGGUUUUUGAAGGGAUGGGUUUUCCUUUCACUCGUAGGAGCCACGCGAAGUAAGUCCUGUUUCUCUGGCAAUCAAAGGGAUAAAUAAGCCUGGGGUCCUUUUGUGUUUGAACAUUGGUGUCUCCAUGGAAAGUCUUUACUUGUAUAUAGAAAAACAGACUGUUUACCUGUUUUAGGGGUGGAGUCCAUAUUAUAAAAACAGCAACAGAAAUCUCAUAAAACUAGAGUCCACGUUCAGUAAAUUUCAGCUUACCUGAAAUCCAAAUAGUGAAUGGUGACUUGUCCCAGCCAUAUUCUCCUUCAAGAGAAGAGAGAGGAAAACAGUUAUGUUGGUCAGCAUGUCCAUUGGAUGAAUUGUAGAGUCUGUUCCUUUCCUUGUGGCUGGCGUGGGUUAUGACUACUGUAUCUACUACAUCUGGGCGCAUCAUGAAACAUGUCCUGUUGUCCCUGUCCUUAGAUAAAGAUACCUGAGCCUUUCAUUUGAGAUUCUUCACCCUCUGUCCCAGCUAUAUUUGCAGAUUUACCUUCUUCGACCCCUUUUCACAUUCCUUGGGACCCAACCCAACAACCCAACACAACCCUUUCGCUUGGUCUGCCUUUGGCCAUCCUUCUUCCCUGGGCCUUGUUUUAUGGGAACUGGGCUUGUGUCCCUUUGAUUCCUUCCACUUAUAUUUAGUGAGUACUUAACUAUGCACUAGCCCUUGUGCUCGGCUCUGGGGAUGCAACCCUGAUGCAACAAAGAUGCGAUCCCAUUUCCAUAUCCCCAAACUAUUCCUUUUCUUCCAGACCAAGGUGAAUGUGUCAGUGAGGUAUUUCCUUUCUCUUCCCAGCUAGAAGCAUCCUUCCCUCCCUCCCUGCAGUGAAAGCAUCUUUUCCUGUUCAUCUGCCGUGGGAUUUACUCCCUUUUUCCUUUGCAUUCUCUGUUCAUGAACGGAGCUUACCUUCCUUGCCCGACUUUCUAGAAAGCAGGGCCUGUAGCACAAUUCAGCUUCACGUUCCCCAUAGUGUUUAGUGCAACCAGUUACCCGUUUGGCAAUAUUUAUUAUCUACUCUGUGCCACAUACUGUUCAGGACAUUCUGUAAGUACUGGUAUUUUAUAGAUAACUUUGGAAUGCAUGAAAAAUGUGGGCCUCGGAAGGACUGUCUGAUGUUAAUGCUAGAGAGCAAAAGAGGGCUGAGGUUGAAAAAGGUGUCUCCUCUUUGCAAGGGAAUGGGUAAUGCCCCAUGAGGUCUGCUUUCUGGAAUCACAUAGAAGCAAUGUGCUUCUGCCAGAAUAACAUUUCUAUUAGAUCUAAAUCAGAAUCCCUUUCUUUUUUAAUUUAAUGAUUAACUACGUCUGUUUCACCUGGGCCUCCUUUUGCAUCAAAAAUCCUCAUGUCAAGCAACGUCACGUUACAAACUGAUUUCAGAUUUUGUAAUAUUGGGGCUCGCGACUUCAAAUUCUAAAACCUGCAGUUGACUUUAAACCAAAAGAAGUUGAAGCGUAGCCUGACCAUAACCUGCUUACCAGAUUUUACAGUCCUCUUUACAUGACAACUAUAACUUACAUUUUUGUUUUGAUCCUAAGAACAUCAAAGUAUUUUGCGUGUUUGUGUUACUGAACUCUGAAACCUCCAAAUCACAUCGAUCUGUUGACUGAUUUAAUAUUGACUAUUUUGGGUUUAUAUUUGCUUUAGACUCUUGCAUUUUGAAAGGGGGGAAAAGUUAAAUACAGUUUGUUGAUUUUAUUUAAGUACACAGUACUGUUUGUGCCCGUAACUUCCGCUUAUCUGAU
rnacentral:lncRNA from 1 species